rnacentral:rRNA from 1 species
AUAUUAUGUUGGCUGUCCAGAUGCCUAAAUAGCAUUUGAUAGCAAGGGCCGGGCAAGACCGGUGCCAGCCGCCGCGGUAACACCGGCGGCCCGAGUGGUAACCGUUAUUAUUGGGUCUAAAGGGUCCGUAGCCGGCCAAGUAAGUCUCUUGGGAAAUCUGGCAGCUUAACUGUCAGGCUGCCAAGAGAUACUGCCUGGCUUGGGACCGGGAGAGGUGAGAGGUACCUCAGGGGUAGGGGUGAAAUCUUGUAAUCCUUGAGGGACCACCAGUGGCGAAGGCGUCUCACCAGAACGGGUCCGACGGCAAGGGACGAAAGCUAGGGGCACGAACCGGAUUAGAUACCCGGGUAGUCCUAGCCGUAAACGAUACUCGCUAGGUGUCAGCCACGGUGCGACCGUGGUUGGUGCCGUAGGGAAGCCGUGAAGCGAGCCACCUGGGAAGUACGGCCGCAAGGCUGAAACUUAAAGGAAUUGGCGGGGGAGCACUACAACGGGUGGAGCCUGCGGUUUAAUUGGAUUCAACGCCGGAAAGCUCACCGGGGGCGACAGCAAUAUGAAGGUCAGGCUGAAGACCUUACCAGAUUCGCUGAGAGGUGGUGCAUGGCCGUCGUCAGUUCGUACUGUGAAGCAU